GACGAACGCUGGCGGCGUGCUUAACACAUGCAAGUCGAACGGAAAGGCCCUGCUUUUGUGGGGUGCUCGAGUGGCGAACGGGUGAGUAACACGUGAGUAACCUGCCCUUGACUUUGGGAUAACUUCAGGAAACUGGGGCUAAUACCGGAUAGGAGCUCCUGCUGCAUGGUGGGGGUUGGAAAGUUUCGGCGGUUGGGGAUGGACUCGCGGCUUAUCAGCUUGUUGGUGGGGUAGUGGCUUACCAAGGCUUUGACGGGUAGCCGGCCUGAGAGGGUGACCGGCCACAUUGGGACUGAGAUACGGCCCAGACUCCUACGGGAGGCAGCAGUGGGGAAUAUUGCACAAUGGGCGGAAGCCUGAUGCAGCAACGCCGCGUGCGGGAUUACGGCCUUCGGGUUGUAAACCGCUUUCGCCUGUGACGAAGCGUGAGUGACGGUAAUGGGGAAAGAAGCACCGGCGAACUACGU
rnacentral:rRNA from 1 species